rnacentral:rRNA from 1 species
CCUACGGGUGGCAGCAGUGGGGAAUCUUGCGCAAUGGGCGGAAGCCUGACGCAGCGACGCCGCGUGCGGGACGAAGGCCUUCGGGUCGUUAAACGCUUUCAGUAGGGACGAGGCAGUCACGGUGACGGGACCUGCAGAAGAAGCCCCGGCUAACUACGUGCCAGCAGCCGCGGUAAUACGGAGGGGGAGAGCGUUAUCCGGAUUCAUUGGGUGUAAAGCGCGCGUAGGCGGGCUGUUAGGUCGGGGGUAAAAUACCGGGGCUAAACCCCGGCCCGCCCCCGAUACCGGGAGGCUUGAGUGUGGUAGGGGAAGGCGGAAUGCGCAGUGUAGCGGUGGAAUGCGCAGAUAUUGGGAAGAACACCGAUGGCGAAGGCAGCCUUCUGGGCCACGACUGACGCUGAGGCGCGAAAGCGAGGGGAUCGAACAGGAUUAGAUACCCUUGUAGUC